rnacentral:rRNA from 1 species
GACGAACGCUGGCGGCGUGCUUAACACAUGCAAGUCGAACGGAAAGGCCUUGUUCCUGUGGGGUGCUCGAGUGGCACACGGGUGAGUAAGACGUGAGUAACCUGACCUUGACUUUGGGCUAUCUUUAGGAAACUGGGGCUAAUAGCGGAUAGGAGCUCAUGCUGCAUGGUGGGGGUUUGAAUGUUUGGGCGGUUGGGGAUGGAUGGGCGGCUUAUCAGGCUGUUGGUGGGGUAGUGGCUUACCAAGGCUUUGACGGGUAGCCGGCCGGAGCGGGGGACCGGCAACAUUGGGACUGAGAAACGGCGCAGACUCCUACGGGAGGCAGCAGUGGGGAAUAUUGCACAGUGAGCGGAGGCCGGAUGCAGCAGCGCCGCGUGCGGGAUGACGGCCGUCGGGUUGUAAACCGCUUUCGCCUGUGACGAAGCGUGAAUGACGGUAAUUGGUAAAGAAGCACCGGCUAACUACGUG